GGUUCAUUCAAAUUUCUGCCCUAUCAACUUUCGAUGGUAGGAUAUAGGCCUACCAUGGUUUCAACGGGUAACGGGGAAUUAGGGUUCUAUUCCGGAGAGGGAGCCUGAGAAACGGCUACCACAUCCAAGGAAGGCAGCAGGCGCGUAAAUUACCCAAUCCCGACCGGGGAGGUAGUGACAAUAAAUACUGAUACAGGGCUCUUUUGGGUCUUGUAAUUGGAAUGAGUACAAUUUAAAUCCCUUAACGAGGAACAAUUGGAGGGCAAGUCUGGUGCCAGCAGCCGCGGUAAUUCCAGCUCCAAUAGCGUAUAUUAAAGUUGUUGCAGUUAAAAAGCUCGUAGUUG
rnacentral:rRNA from 1 species